GUUAUCAAGACCUAAUAAAAGCCAUCAAUUAUGGCACCCAAUAAAUAUUCAUAAAUAUUAAUAAAUUAACAAAUUUAAUAUGCCAAUUAAGCGGAAUAAAUGCACAUAAACACUUACCAAACACACAAUUUUUCAAAAAACAUGAAUGGAAUCAAUUAAUCCCUAAUUUGGGUAAAUAUAAAUCGCAUUUACAUGAAAUUUAAUUCCUUAUGUAUAACUGAAGUAUUU
rnacentral:lncRNA from 1 species